rnacentral:rRNA from 1 species
CCCUAUGGGGUGCAGCAGGACGAGAAUGAUGCUUAAAAAAAGGGAUGCAGUAAUAGUAAGCAGUGAAUUGGCAAGUAAGUUCAUUGUUUUAAUUUUGAUAAAAAGCGCUGCUGCAGAAACGCCUGGUUUCUAAGGCAGGGGGUAAAAAGAGCUAAAAAACAAGAACGCUUUUUAUGCUUUAAACAAAUGGACCACGACAACGACUUCCUAGAUAAUAUAUAUUAUAAUAUAUUUUCCCUCCGCUUCAAGCUAGAAUUACAUUAUCAAGCGGCACUAUCAAGGGGGCACAAAAGCGUUUUUACGCCUAACCGAACCAAGACAAGGAGUUAUAUCGUUGAAAUAACCUCGAUUUAAGAAAGGCGCUAUUUGUCGGGCGGGGGGGC